CAGUAGCCACGGUAAUACGAAGGGUGCAAGCGUUACUCGGAAUUACUGGGCGUAAAGCGUGCGUAGGUGGUGGUUUAAGUCCGUUGUGAAAGCCCUGGGCUCAACCUGGGAAUUGCAGUGGAUACUGGGUCACUAGAGUGUGGUAGAGGAUAGUGGAAUUUCCGGUGUAGCAGUGAAAUGCGUAGAGAUCGGAAGGAACAUCUGUGGCGAAGGCGACUAUCUGGGCCAACACUGACACUGAGGCACGAAAGCGUGGGGAGCAAACAGGAUUAGAUACCCCGUAGUCCCUGUCUCUUAUACC
rnacentral:rRNA from 1 species